rnacentral:rRNA from 1 species
UACAGAGGGUGCGAGCGUUGUUCGGAAUUACUGGGCGUAAAGGGUGUGUAGGCGGUUGUUUAAGUUUGGUGUGAAAUCUCCCGGCUCAACUGGGAGGGUGCGCCGAAUACUGGAAUGACUAGAGUGUGGGAGAGGUGAGUGGAAUUCCUGGUGUAGCGGUGAAAUGCGUAGAUAUCAGGAGGAACACCGGUGGUGUAGACGGCUCACUGGACCAUAACUGACGCUGAGACACGAAAGCGUGGGUAGCAAACAGG